AGAGUUUGAUCCUGGCUCAGGAUGAACGCUAGCGACAGGCUUAACACAUGCAAGUCGAGGGGCAGCGGGGCGGCAGGCUUGCCUGCCGUUGCCGGCGACCGGCGCACGGGUGAGUAACACGUAUGCAACCUGCCCGUGGCAGGGGGAUAAGCGGGGGAAACCCCGUCUAAUACCGCGUAACGCGGCCUAGGGACAUCCCAAGGCCGCCAAAGGGAGCAAUCCCGGCCACGGAUGGGCAUGCGGCGCAUUAGCUAGUCGGCGGGGUAACGGCCCACCGAGGCGACGAUGCGUAGGGGUUCUGAGAGGAAGGCCCCCCACACUGGUACUGAGACACGGACCAGACUCCUACGGGAGGCAGCAGUGAGGAAUAUUGGUCAAUGGGCGCGAGCCUGAACCAGCCAAGUCGCGUGAGGGAGGACGGCCCUACGGGUUGUAAACCUCUUUUGCCGGGGAGCAACGGGCGC
rnacentral:rRNA from 1 species